rnacentral:rRNA from 1 species
CCUUGACAUCCAGAGAACUUAGCAGAGAUGCUUUGGUGCCUUCGGGAACUCUGAGACAGGUGCUGCAUGGCUGUCGUCAGCUCGUGUUGUGAAAUGUUGGGUUAACGUCCGCAACGAGCGCAACCCUUAUCCUUUGUUGCCAGCGGUUCGGCCGGGAACUCAAAGGAGACUGCCGGUGAUAAACCGGAGGAAGGUGGGGAUGACGUCAAGUCAUCAUGGCCCUUACGGCCAGGGCUACACACGUGCUACAAUGGCGCAUACAAAGAGAAGCGACCUCGCGAGAGCAAGCGGACCUCAUAAAGUGCGUCGUAGUCCGGAUUGGAGUCUGCAACUCGACUCCAUGAAGUCGGAAUCGCUAGUAAUCGUAGAUCAGAAUGCUACGGUGAAUACGUUCCCGGGCCUUGUACACACCGCCCGUCACACCAUGGGAGUGGGUUGCAAAAGAAGUAGGUAGCUUAACCUUCGGGAGGGCGCUUACCACUUUGUGAUUCAUGACUGGGGUGAAGUCGUAACAAGGUAGGCGUAGACGU